UACGGAGGGGGCUAGCGUUGUUCGGAAUGACUGGGCGUAAAGGGCGCGUAGGCGGCGAUUCAAGUCAGGUGUGAAAGGCCUGGGCUCAACCCGGGAACUGCACUUGAUACUGAAUUGCUUGAGUCCGGGAGAGGAUGGCGGAAUUCCCAGUGUAGAGGUGAAAUUCGUAGAUAUUGGGAAGAACACCAGUGGCGAAGGCGGCCAUCUGGACCGGUACUGACGCUGAGGCGCGAAAGCGUGGGGAGCGAACGGG
rnacentral:rRNA from 1 species